UACCACAUCCAAGGANGCAGCAGGCGCGCAAAUUACCCACUCCCGGCACGGGGAGGUAGUGACGAAAAAUAACGAUACGGGACUCAUCCGAGGCCCCGUAAUCGGAAUGAGUACACUUUAAAUCCUUUAACGAGUACCAAUUGGAGGGCAAGUCUGGUGCCAGCAGCCGCGGUAAUUCCAGCUCCAAUAGCGUAUAUUAAAGUUGUUGCGGUUAAAAAGCUCGUAGUUGGAUCUGUGUCUUACGAUGUCGGUUCACCGCUCGCGGUGUUAACUGGCAUGCCUGUGGGACGUCCUGCCGGUGGCGGUCCGGGCCCGAGGAUAUGUGUAGGGCUUGCCCGAAGCAUGCCGAGGGUACCGGCCGCCGAUUCAAUCCCGCCGCGGUGCUCUUAACUGAGUGUCGAGGUGGGCCGGCACGUUUACUUUGAACAAAUUAGAGUGCUUAAAGCAGGCUGAUUUCUGCCUGAAUACUGUGUGCAUGGAAUAAUGGAAUAGGACUUCGGUUCUAUUUUGUUGGUUUUAAGAAUCCGAAGUAAUGAUUAAUAGGGACAGGCGGGGGCAUUCGUAUUGCGACGUUAGACUUGGCAAAUGCUUUCGCGGUGAAAUUCUUGGAUCGUCGCAAGACGUACCUAAGCGAAAGCAUUUGCCAAGUAUGUCCUCGUUAAUCAAGAACGAAAGUUAGAGGUUCGAAGGCGAUCAGAUACCGCCCUAGUUCUAACCAUAAACGAUGCCAGCCAGCGAUCCGCCGAAGUUCCUCCGAUGACUCGGCGGGCAGCUUCCGGGAAACCAAAGCUUUUGGGUUCCGGGGGAAGUAUGGUUGCAAAGCUGAAACUUAAAGGAAUUGACGGAAGGGCACCACCAGGAGUGGAGCCUGCGGCUUAAUUUGACUCAACACGGGAAACCUCACCAGGCCCGGACACCGGAAGGAUUGACAGAUUGAUAGCUCUUUCUUGAUUCGGUGGGUGGUGGUGCAUGGCCGUUCUUAGUUGGUGGAGCGA
rnacentral:rRNA from 1 species